AAAGAUUGGCGAUCCGUUGGAUACCGACCGAGUUAUAGGCAAAAUUUGGUGCAAAAAUGACCCUUAGUAAAUUUUUAUUGUUUUGAAUUUUUUGAUUUUUUCAUUAUUUUUUACUCUUUUUUUAUUUCAAUCAUUAUUUGAGUGAAAAGAAACUCAUUGCAACCAAUUGGGAUUCAAAUAAAACAGUUUUAUUUUUUUUGCAAAAUUUCUCAAAAAAAACGUAAGGGGUAAGCCUUAUGAAAUUUUCGAGUUGAAAUUUUUUUUUCGAUUUUUUAUUCUUUUUUUAGUUUAAAGCAUUAUUUGAGUGAAAAGAAACAUAUUGCAACAAAUUCCCAUUAAAAUAUAUCACAUUUUUCAAUUUUGCUAAAUUGUUCAAAAACAGGGUAAGGAACUUGGUUCCCUGAAUAACUUCUGGCACAGACAUCUGACGGUAUGGCCGUCCAAGAAGAAAAUGUAGCCAUUGAUGCCAUCUAUCGACCACAGGUUAAAGAUUGGCGAUCCGUUGGAUACCGACCGAGUUAUAGGCAAAAUUUGGUGCAAAAAUGACCCUUAGUAAAUUUUUAUUGUUUUGAAUUUUUUGAUUUUUUCAUUAUUUUUCACUCUUUUUUUAUUUCAAUCAUUAUUUGAGUGAAAAGAAACUCAUUGCAACCAAUUGGGAUUAAAAUAAAACAAUUUUAUUUUUUUUGCAAAACUUCUCAAAAAAAAACGUAAGGGGUAAGCCUUAUGAAAUUUUCGAGUUGAAAUUUUUUUGAAAUUUUUUUUUCGAUUUUUUAUUCUUUUUUUAGUUUAAAGCAUUAUUUGAGUGAAAAGAAACAUAUUGCAACAAAUUCCCAUUAAAAUAUAUCACAUUUUUCAAUUUUGCUAAAUUGUUCAAAAACAGGGUAAGGAACUUGGUUCCCUGAAUAACUUCUGGCACAGACAUCUGAGGGCAUGGCCGUCCAAGAAGAAAAUGUAGCCAUUGAUGCCAUAUAUCGACCACAGGUUAAAGAUUGGCGAUCCGUUGGAUACCGACCGAGUUAUAGGCAAAAGUUGGUGCAAAAAUGGGAAAAAUUUUACAUUUUCUCAAACAGGGUAAGGAACUUGGUUCCUCGAAUAACUUCUGGCACAGACAUCUGAGGGCAUGGCCGUCCAAGAAGAAAAUGUAGCCAUUAAUGCCAUCUAUCGACCACAAGUUAAAGAUUGGCGAUCCGUUGGAUACCGACCGAGUUAUAGGCAAAAGUUGGUGCAAAAAUGGGAAAAAUUUUACAUUUUCUCAAACAGGGUAAGGAACUUGGUUCCUCGAAUAACUUCUGGCACAGACAUCUGAGGGCAUGGCCGUCCAAGAAGAAAAUGUAGCCAUUAAUGCCAUCUAUCCACCACAAGUUAAAGAUUGGCGAUCCGUUGGAUGCCGACCGAGUUAUAGGCAAAAGUUGGUGCAAAAAUGAGAAAAAUUUUACAUUUUCUCAAACAGGGUAAGGAACUUGGUUCCUCGAAUAACUUCUGGCACAGACAUCUGAGGGCAUGGCCGUCCAAGAAGAAAAUGUAGCCAUUGAUGCCAUCUAUCGACCACAGGUUAAAGAUUGGCGAUCCGUUGGAUACCGACCGAGUUAUAGGCAAAAUUUGGUGCAAAAAUGACCCUUAGUAAAUUUUUAUUGUUUUGAAUUUUUUGAUUUUUUCAUUAUUUUUCACUCUUUUUUUAUUUCAAUCAUUAUUUGAGUGAAAAGAAACUCAUUGCAACCAAUUGGGAUUAAAAUAAAACAAUUUUAUUUUUUUUGCAAAACUUCUCAAAAAAAAACGUAAGGGGUAAGCCUUAUGAAAUUUUCGAGUUGAAAUUUUUUUGAAAUUUUUUUUUCGAUUUUUUAUUCUUUUUUUAGUUUAAAGCAUUAUUUGAGUGAAAAGAAACAUAUUGCAACAAAUUCCCAUUAAAAUAUAUCACAUUUUUCAAUUUUGCUAAAUUGUUCAAAAACAGGGUAAGGAACUUGGUUCCCUGAAUAACUUCUGGCACAGACAUCUGACGGUAUGGCCGUCCAAGAAGAAAAUGUAGCCAUUGAUGCCAUCUAUCGACCACAGGUUAAAGAUUGGCGAUCCGUUGGAUACCGACCGAGUUAUAGGCAAAAGUUGGUGCAAAAAUGGGAAAAAUUUUACAUUUUCUCAAACAGGGUAAGGAACUUGGUUCCCUGAAUAACUUCUGGCACAGACAUCUGAGGGCAUGGCCGUCCAAGAAGAAAAUGUAGCCAUUAAUGCCAUCUAUCGACCACAAGUUAAAGAUUGGCGAUCCGUUGGAUGCCGACCGAGUUAUAGGCAAAAGUUGGUGCAAAAAUGAGAAAAAUUUUACAUUUUCUCAAACAGGGUAAGGAACUUGGUUCCUCGAAUAACUUCUGGCACAGACAUCUGAGGGCAUGGCCGUCCAAGAAGAAAAUGUAGCCAUUGAUGCCAUCUAUCGACCACAGGUUAAAGAUUGGCGAUCCGUUGGAUACCGACCGAGUUAUAGGCAAAAGU